rnacentral:rRNA from 1 species
UCGCUUCGGGAAUAUAGCCUUAAGGUGGGGGACAACAGUUGGAAACGACUGCUAAUACCGCAUAACGUCUACGGACCAAAGGGGGCUUCGGCUCUCGCCCUUAGAUUAGCCCAAGUGGGAUUAGCUAGUUGGUGAGGUAAUGGCUCACCAAGGCGACGAUCCCUAGCUGGUUUGAGAGGAUGAUCAGCCACACUGGAACUGAGACACGGUCCAGACUCCUACGGGAGGCAGCAGUGGGGAAUAUUGCACAAUGGGCGCAAGCCUGAUGCAGCCAUGCCGCGUGUGUGAAGAAGGCCUUAGGGUUGUAAAGCACUUUCAGUAAGGAGGAAAGGUUAGUAGUUAAUACCUGCUAGCUGUGACGUUACUUACAGAAAAAGCACCGGCUAACUCCGUGCCAGCAGCCGCGGUAAUACGGAGGGUGCGAGCGUUAAUCGGAAUUACUGGGCGUAAAGCGUACGCAGGCGGUUUGUUAAGCGAGAUGUGAAAGCCCCGGGCUCAACCUGGGAACUGCAUUUCAAACUGGCAAACUAAAGUAUGAUAGAGGGGUGGUAGAAUUUCAGGUGUAGCGGUGAAAUGCGUA